rnacentral:rRNA from 1 species
UUUUUCGGUGUAGGAUGAGACUAUAUAGUAUCAGCUAGUUGGUAAGGUAAUGGCUUACCAAGGCUAUGACGCUUAACUGGUCUGAGAGGAUGAUCAGUCACACUGGAACUGAGACACGGUCCAGACUCCUACGGGAGGCAGCAGUAGGGAAUAUUGCGCAAUGGGGGAAACCCUGACGCAGCAACGCCGCGUGGAGGAUGACACUUUUCGGAGCGUAAACUCCUUUUCUUAGGGAAGAAUUCUGACGGUACCUAAGGAAUAAGCACCGGCUAACUCCGUGCCAGCAGCCGCGGUAAUACGGAGGGUGCAAGCGUUACUCGGAAUCACUGGGCGUAAAGGGCGCGUAGGCGGAUUAUCAAGUCUCUUGUGAAAUCUAAUGGCUUAACCAUUAAACUGCUUGGGAAACUGAUAGUCUAGAGUGAGGGAGAGGCAGAUGGAAUUGGUGGUGUAGGGGUAAAAUCCGUAGAUAUCACCAAGAAUACCCAUUGCGAAGGCGAUCUGCUGGAACUCAACUGACGCUAAGGCGAGAAAGCGUGGGGAGCAAACAGGAUUAGAUACCCUGGUAGUCCACGCCCUAAACGAUGUACACUAGUUGUUGGGGUGCUAGUCAUCUCAGUAAUGCAGCUAACGCAUUAAGUGUACCGCCUGGGGAGUACGGUCGCAAGAUUAAAACUCAAAGGAAUAGACGGGGACCCGCACAAGCGGUGGAGCAUGUGGUUUAAUUCGAAGAUACGCGAAGAACCUUACCUGGGCUUGAUAUCCUAAGAACCUUUUAGAGAUAAGAGGGUGCUAGCUUGCUAGAACUUAGAGACAGGUGCUGCACGGCUGUCGUCAGCUCGUGUCGUGAGAUGUUGGGUUAAGUCCCGCAACGAGCGCAACCCACGUAUUUAGUUGCUAACGGUUCGGCCGAGCACUCUAAAUAGACUGCCUUCGUAAGGAGGAGGAAGGUGUGGACGACGUCAAGUCAUCAUGGCCCUUAUGCCCAGGGCGACACACGUGCUACAAUGGCAUAUACAAUGAGACGCAAUACCGCGAGGUGGAGCAAAUCUAUAAAAUAUGUCCCAGUUC